rnacentral:rRNA from 1 species
AUUGAACGCUGGCGGCAUGCCUUACACAUGCAAGUCGAACGGCAGCACGGACUUCGGUCUGGUGGCGAGUGGCGAACGGGUGAGUAAUAUAUCGGAACAUACCUUGUAGUGGGGGAUAACUAUCCGAAAGGAUAGCUAAUACCGCAUACGCUCUAAGGAGGAAAGCGGGGGAUCGUAAGACCUCGUGCUAUAAGAGUGGCCGAUAUCUGAUUAGCUAGUUGGUGAGGUAAAGGCUCACCAAGGCGACGAUCAGUAGCUGGUCUGAGAGGACGACCAGCCACACUGGAACUGAGACACGGUCCAGACUCCUACGGGAGGCAGCAGUGGGGAAUUUUGGACAAUGGGGGCAACCCUGAUCCAGCAAUGCCGCGUGAGUGAAGAAGGCCUUCGGGUUGUAAAGCUCUUUUGUCAGGGAAGAAACGGUUGUGGCUAAUAUCCAUGGCUAAUGACGGUACCUGAAGAAUAAGCACCGGCUAACUACGUGCCAGCCGCCGCGGUAAAAC